GCCCGCUUUAAUCUUCUACUCAGCCAUCCAGAGUUUUUCAUCUAGAUCUAUAAUUUGUUCUCUCUUUCUCUCUCUCGAGAUCUUCAUCCAUCAUCUAUCGUAGCUUCCGGUGUUUAAACACUUCUCAAUCACCAGGUUGGAAACACCAAAAUCAAGGAAGGGUUACAAUUAGGGCUAAAAAUCUAUGUGCAGCUUCUAAAAUCAUACCUCCCAGGGCGCUUCAUGCUUGAAAAUCAUACUAUACAAAUUGAGGUUUUCCCUUUGAUUUGAUUUAUAAGUGUUUUAGUUUAAUUGUUUUUUGAAUUUAGGUUUUUAGGUUUUCUAGGUUAAAUCUGACCAUGUAUUUUUAACAUCAUUGGUUGAGCAAAUGAUGCUACUUUUUUGUUUGGUCUAUGAAAUUGACUUGAUUUUUUUAGUAUAGUUUGUAAUACGUUUUGUUAAACAUGAAUACGUGUCAGUGCUGGGUUGUAAUCUAUGACCGCUAAUCAUAUGGCUUGGAAAUGAUCAACUAACCCCAAGGUACUCCUUCUGCACACACAUCCACACAUAUCUCCAUAUGAUAAUAUCUAUCUAUAUAUCUAUCUAUCACUUGUUUGCUUUUUUUAUUUUGGAUAUGAUUGGGGAUUUGAAAUGCUUAGUGCCAACAUUACUAAGUGAAUACCAUGGUACAAGGUCAAGAUUGUAUACUUCCAAUAGGCAUUACAUCAGAAAAUGUUGCACACCGGUUCAAUAUAACAAUGCGUGAACAAGAUUAGGCUUCCGUAAGUUUAACUAAACUUGAUCAGUAGCAUUUGUAUGUAUGAAUCAUUUAUAAAAAAAUCAAUGGCGUUGGUACUAAUCCAAUUUUUGCUUUUAAUGUUGAGAAGAUUUUUGUUAUUAAAGAAAUAAUAAUAUUAAGGAACAAAAAUUUGUCUCAUGUUACCAAAGGAUGUUAUGCAAUACCAUAAAGUGAUAAUUUAAUGUUUUGUUAUUUUAUAGUUUUCCUCUAGAAUUGAUUGCAAAGUUGAGGUAAGAAUGCCUUGUGAUGCAAAACCAUAAAGUGAGUUCAAACAUUAUGUUUCAUAUAUUGUUAAACGUAUACUAAAAUCACCUUAAUCCAAUUAACAUAAAUGCAUAUGAGAUAACUAGCCUAUGGAUCUGUAAUUGUAACUGCAUAUAUCACUAGAAACAUUUUGAUUAUUGUUAUGCAGUCUUAUCAAAUGCCAUUGGAUCUGCAAUUUGUUGUUCAAGAGUAACGGGUGGGUUAACUGACUGAUUGUGACUUGAUGGCGAUUCUGGAAAGCUUUGAAGAAGCACCAGUGACCAGGCUCGCUACUGCAUGUUCUCUUGUAGAACAAAUUCAUGAUUUCCAAGGUUAGUUUUGUGGGGUGUAGGUACACUUGGUGUGUUUCAAUAUCAUUUUUCAAUCAUUCAAGUUAAGCCGAUUCAGUUUUAUCUAUAUACUAUGUUAUAAUGUAUGGUGUGGAUAAUUGUGGUUAAUUGGAGCAGGGCUGAGUUGACUGGGAGGAUAAUUAGGGAAUCGACAGGGUGUUGUUCAUGUUCAACAACGGAAAAUAAGUUUUAUAUUUCAAGUAAAUACAAUAUUUGUUCAUUAGUACGACAAUCAACCUUUAAAUAUAUCAUAUAUAUCAAACUACGAGCCUAAAUACAUGUAAAUAAUAAUCACCCUUUUUGUAAUAUAUUAUAUGUAUAUAAAAAUAAAAUAUAUUAUAAGUAAAAUAAUUCGAGCUAAGCCGAGCCAAGCUACCAAGCGAGCCAAACCGAGCCAAUUUGGCUCGUCACGAGCCGAGCCGAGCUAGGCUCACUUUCUAACCGAGCCGAGCCGGCUCGGUUCACUUUCAAACCGAGCCAUAUCGAACGACCUUUUCCAGAGCUAAAUCUGAGCGAGCUCCGAGCCGCGAACUUUUUGGACAGCCCUACUUCCGGUUAUGAGGUUGGGGUUGGUUACUUAGUUUGUUCCUAUCGCCGUGUUCUUGGUUGAAUGAAGAGAUUGUGCCUAGAGAAAAGCAUGGGAAAGUUUUUUGUGAGUGGCAACAGGAUUGUUGGGUUCCGGCUUACUACGCGUUGGCGAUUCUUACAAGUUACGAUGUCGUGGUCUGGUGCUGCAAUGGUGGAAGCACAUAUUUAUGUAAUCAAUGGGACUAUAGCUCAGUGGUACUUCUCGAAAGACAAUUCGAGGGUUAAACGAGCGUACGACGUUCUCUAAGGACUAUUGAUUGUUGUACGAAUAACGUGUGGGGCAGUUGAUACCGCAACAAACGAAGAUACAAGUGGGUUAAUCAACAACGAUUUUAGAUGCUGUGUCAAUGCCCUUUUAUAAGCAUUUGAGGGUUUUAGUAAAUUCACCAUAAACUUUGCAGCUAUAACUGGUGAAACUUGCUGUGUUGAUUGACUUAUGAACUUCUAAGACAUAAUCUUCUCUCAGCUGUUGUGGAUAUUUUUUCCAUGUGUCGUUUGGUUACAAUCAUCGUUGUUCUUUGAGCAAUCUAUGCUAUUGUGGUCAGCAGUUCCUUAUAGCAUUUUAAACUAUUUAGCUAAUUGUUCAUGUAGAUAAGUAGAAGAAACUGCUUUUCUUCAUCUUUCAUUACUAUUCCAAUUAUUAUUAUGAG